ACAGCCACAUCAUUUUGAAGCACUGGUUUCCCUAUGAUCACCGAAGUUAAGCAAUAUUGAGCCUGGUCAGUACCUAGAUGGGUUCCUGUUUGGGAAUACCAAGUGCUGUAAG